rnacentral:misc_RNA from 1 species
GAUGAGAAUGUAGUGAAAUGCGAUAAUUAAUGUGAAUUGCAGAAUUCAGUGAAUCAUCGAGUCUUUGAACGCACAUUGCGCCCCCUGGUAUUCCGGGGGGCAUGCCUGUCCGAGCGUCAUUGCUGCCCUCAAGCACGGCUUGUGUGUUGGGCUUCCGUCCCUGGCAACGGGGACGGGCCCAAAAGGCAGUGGCGGCACCAUGUCUGGUCCUCGAGCGUAUGGGGCUUUGUCACCCGCUCCCGUAGGUCCAGCUGGCAGCUAGCCUCGCAACCAAUCUUUUUAACCAGGUUGACCUCGGAUCAGGUAGGGAUACCCGCUGAACUUAAGCAUAUCAAUAAGCGGAGGA